GUUUGACAGCACAUAACUACACCACAUCUGAAACAUAUUCAGAAGGACUCUCAGUGCUGUUUACAGAACCAGACCCAUCAUCCGGCGUUGUGGUGGUGGUAGAACCCGACCCGUCAUCCUGGGGUGAGGUGACGAUAGAACCUGACCCGUAUUCCGGCGUUGUGGUGGCGGUAGAACCAGACCCAUAUUCCGGCAUUGUGGUGGUGGUAGAACCCGACCCGUCAUCCUGGGGCGAGGUGGCGGUAGAACCCGACCCGUAUUCCGGCGUUGUGGUGGUGGUGGUAGAACCCGACCCGUCAUCCUGGGGCGAGGUGGCGUUAGAACCCGACCCGUCAUUUCCCAGGGGGACAGAAAUACAUGUACCAACCAAGUUACUGUGUCCAUUAAACAGAUUGUCUGUAGAGAACAAAGUGAUUGACGCAUUUAGUCCUCCCCCCAAAAACCCCCCCCACACACACACACCAUUAUAAACUCAAUACCCUACUCCUGGAGUGACGUGAUAUUUGGUUUUUUCCUUAAUUUGAAAGAAUCUUGUGGUAAUGUAAAGAGCCAUGUUAACCUAUGGAGCUGAAUACUGAGCAGGGAUGACAAAUGAACAAGAGACUUAGGAGGAUAAGUAACUAACAUUUCACAAGUUCUAGCUGCAUUAUGAAGACUUCUACAUUCUGAAUAUGAACAAGAUUCCAUAGGUGGACAUGUUUGGGGACUUUAGUGUAAAAAAAAAAAAAAUAAAAAAAAAAAUAAAAAAAAAAAAAAAAAGAGAUAAAAAAAUAAAAAAAAAUAAAAUGGCUCAUUUUGAUGAAUUAGAGUCAACAAAAUGAUUGGCUCUUCUAAUCACUAACAUUGAUAGAAGACACAUAUGGAAACAAACAUGAAACUUAAUUCUUGCAACCAAACAAAGAACAAAAUAUUAAAACUCACCUUGCCAUAGCAACUGGUGAUAAAGAAACACCAAAAGAGUAAGUUUAAUCAAGCCCAUUCUUUACCACAAACUUAACCACUGACACAGACAAACUAACUACACACAUAGAGUCAACCAAACCAGGACUUUUAAAGCCAAACAGAAAACAAUUUGUGCCACCUGGACAGCUCGUUAACUCAUUAUCACAUUAUCAGUAAGCACACACAGCUUGAAAAUCAUUAUACCUGGGCAGGAUUAAAGAGGUUCACUUUCUAGCCAGAAAAUAACUGCCUCCUGACUGGCCAUGCAUUCCAAUGUUCAUACUAGCCAUCCUAAAUAGUAUGUUAGAUGAGUAUAAGUGCUUCCCAAAGCAUAGUAUGUUGAACAGAGUGUGUCAAAAGUCAGAUGGUCUAUUAUUUCAGGUAGAUUUUUGAAGUGUGAAUCUAUGCACGCUCUUAUGGCUAAUAUUGUCCACGAUCCAUGGCUUUUUUAAUGAAGGAUUCAUUUCAUAACUACAUACAUGAAAAAGAAAAAACAAAAGAAAAAAAAAAGGAAGUAUGGCGGAUGUGCAACUGACAAACUGACAACACGGCGGCAAACAACACUGAGCAGGGGUGUAUUCCAGAAAGCAGUUAACUUACCGUCAGCUAAACCCUGAACUUUUGAUUGAUUAACCCCAAACCUUGCUUACUCAAGGUAUGUGGUUCCAAAAACACAUCUGGGAGUAAGUUCAUUAAACUCAGAGAGUGUUCCUGGUUAAGACUCAAGACAUUCUCAACAGAGUAACGAAUAAACGAGUCACUAAGAAAAAGCACGCCAUGCUGUUUAUUUCUUCUUUUGUUCAAUGGUCGUUUACAUGCUUAGUGCAUAUCGCCAUCUGAUUGAUG
ensembl:lncRNA